rnacentral:rRNA from 1 species
UAAGACGUAGGGUCCAAGCGUUGUCCGGAAUUACUGGGCGUAAAGCGCGCGCAGGCGGAUUCGCGCAUCAUCGGUGAAAGCCCCCCGCUCAACGGGGGAGGGUCCGGUGAGAUGGCGAGUCUGGAGGCAGGGAGAGGCGAGUGGAAUUCCGGGUGUAGUGGUGAAAUGCGUAGAGAUCCGGAGGAACACCAGUGGCGAAGGCGGCUCGCUGGACCUGACCUGACGCUGAGGCGCGAAGGCGUGGGGAGCGAACGGGAUUAGAUACCCCGGUAGUCCACGCAGUAAACGAUGGAUACUAGGUGUGGCGGGAGUUGACCCCUGCCGUGCCGGCGUCAACACAGUAAGUAUCCCGCCUGGGGAGUACGGCCGCAAGGCUA